AACGCACCUUGCGCUCCUUGGCAUUCCGAGGAGCAUGCCUGUUUGAGUGUCGUUGAAUUCUCAGAGCCCCUCCCUAAUCUUUUGGCGAGUGGGUUUGGAUUGGUGGAGGAUGCACUGCUGCUGCCCCUAUAGGGGGGCCAACUUUGCUCCUCUGAAAUGGAACAGUGUUAUGGCACAAACCGGUCGUCGGUAUGAUACUCCUUACCGGCUCCCAAACCAUGCCUUAGCUGCAUUGUCUUUGUGGACAAAUUUGACCUCAAAUCAGGCAGGACUACCCGCUGAACUUAA
rnacentral:misc_RNA from 1 species